GGGAGCAUGGUCAAGGGGACCAUGAGUGGGGAAGGAGAUGAAGAGUGACCCCCUCCUGAGAUGAUGAUGACGAUGGUGCUGCUGCUGAUGGGUCUUGCCAGAUCCUCCAGAAUGCACUGAGACUCUGAUUUUGCAGAAGCGGACACCAAGGCUGCAGAGGAGAUGCUCGUCAUAAGGGACCUCUGAACCACAACCGGGCCUUGACACCACACCCAGGAGAUGUGGAAACUAAACCUCAGAGGAGUAAUUUUCCCAUGAUGAGAAAGUCAGCAUGAGAUCUUCAAAAGCCUUCCAGUCCAACUCAGAAGUGGCCCAGAGGGACAGUGGUGAAGAAGAAUCCUCCAGGAGUCAGAACUCGGGCAGUACACCCUUGGCCAAGGGAGAAUUAGAAGCCUGGAGC